rnacentral:misc_RNA from 1 species
GAGAAGAACGUAGCGAAAUGCGAUACGUAAUGUGAAUUGCAGAAUUCAGUGAAUCAUCGAAUCUUUGAACGCAUAUUGCGCUCUUUGGUAUUCCGAAGAGCAUGCUUGUUUGAGUAUCAGUAAACACCUCAACCUCUUCUUGAUUUUUCAAAAGGAGGGUGGACUUGAGCUAUCCCAACAACCUUUACCGGUCGGCGGGCGGCUUGAAAUGCAGGUGCAGCUGGACUUUUAUCUGAGCUAAAAGCAUAUCUAUUUAGUCCUCGUCAAACAGGAUUAUUACUUUUGCUGCAGCUAACAUAAAGGAUAAUUGUCCUCUUUGCUGACUGAUGCAGGAUUUUACGACACUUUAUGUGUUGUUCAACUCGAUCUCAAAUCAAGUAAGACUACCCGCUGAACUUAAGCAUAUCAAUAAGCGGAGGA